UAGUCAGUCGGCAGAGGAUUACAGACAACUCUCUGUGGAUUAUUGUGACUCCAGCAGCAUUUCGGAGAGCACAUCUUUGAUACUGUCAAACAGGGGCUGCAGGAGAGGGAGAGCUCCGCAAGCACAGCAGGCGUGGGACCCAAACCUGAGUGGGUCGAGGACACACAGUAGCUACAAGCUCUUCAUUAACAGAUCAGCAAGUGCUGUGGAUGAAAUCCCUGCUGGGACUCAGAAGAACGACAAGCCCAACCUUCUGAAGUUAGGCUCUACCUUCUCGGUGUCUGCCAAGGACUCAUUAGCA